UGCCUACGGGGGGCUGCAGUGGGGAAUAUUGGACAAUGGGCGCAAGCCUGAUCCAGCAAUGCCGCGUGAGUGAUGAAGGCCUUAGGGUCGUAAAGCUCUUUUACCAGGGAUGAUAAUGACAGUACCUGGAGAAUAAGCUCCGGCUAACUCCGUGCCAGCAGCCGCGGUAAUACGGAGGGAGCUAGCGUUGUUCGGAAUUACUGGGCGUAAAGCGCACGUAGGCGGCUACACAAGUCAGAGGUGAAAGCCCGGGGCUCAACCCCGGAACUGCCUUUGAAACUAGGUGGCUAGAAUCUUGGAGAGGUCAGUGGAAUUCCGAGUGUAGAGGUGAAAUUCGUAGAUAUUCGGAAGAACACCAGUGGCGAAGGCGACUGACUGGACAAGUAUUGACGCUGAGGUGCGAAAGCGUGGGGAGCAAACAGGAUUAGAUACCCGUGUAGUC
rnacentral:rRNA from 1 species